AGGUCUAUUUACUAUUUGACUGAAACAACUAUCGCCUCAUUGAUUACCAGUGUUCAUUUGACUGCUCUGGCUGGCUAGGCUUGUUUCCUCAUCGUUCCAUGUGUGUCCAUUAAAGAUGUCCUCUUAGUCAAAAAGGAUAGCCUUCUGUGAUAGAAGCACAUUCAUACUGUUUCUCCAUGAAGGGUGUAUGGGCAAAUCGGCUUCCCUGCUAGAACAAGUUUCCAAAGUUCACUUAUACAACACUGUGGUAGUUAAGCUUUUAAGACUUCAAACAUGUCCAAAUGAGGUACUUCUGGCACUGGUACUUCUAACUUU
rnacentral:snRNA from 1 species